rnacentral:lncRNA from 1 species
UUUUUUUUUUUUUUAAUUUUUUGCCCCCCUUUGCAAAGCCACACCAGCCAGUUAUUCUGCAGCCAGAAUAAAACCCUAUGGUCUGGCUAACCCGGGCUUUAGAGAACUGACUUUCCGAUUUGGCAGAAUAAGAGAUGCCUUCAAUACAUCUAGGCUAUCACUCUGAGAUGCUGCCUUUGCAAACCCCCUUUCUCUCCCUCCCCACCCCCCAAAAAAGGAAAGGAAAAGAAAGAAAAGACGGGAAAAAAGACUUAUUGGGGGUGGAAGUGGUGCCCUCUCUUCCUGGAAAGCUUAGUGCCUUUGCUAUGCAAAUAACAUGUGCAGAGCAUCAAAAGGUAUCAGGAGAAAAGAAGACAAGAGGAGCAGGAAGGGCAGCAAAGUUUUGUUGAAGUAGCCCUAGAUCUCACUACCGGCCCCCAGCCAACUUGAAUUGCAGCAGGAGAAAAUUUUGGCAGCUUUUCCUCGGAGGCAGAGCACACUGACGUCAGUCUGCAGAUGUGCCUGGGCUGCGUCGGGUGCGCAUGUGUCCUGGGUCGUCACGUGGAGGGGGAGGGGAGGUAGAGGUACAAUCGGGGUAACCAACUACCAGCCAUUCAGAAGGGCUUAGACAAUGUCAACUUUUCCACACUGUGAAUGAGAGAAAUUCUGGCCUCUCUAACCUCUCUCCUAUCUCACUCCGCCUCUUUUCCUCCUCCUCCUCUAAACUCUUAGAAAUUCUAGCCUGGUUUGCUAUUAGUUGUUUCUUGGAAAAAGGAAGGGGGAGGGAGAAGGAUGAAUGACUUUAGAUGGACUAAUGUCACUGUUAAGAUCUCUGGUGUCAUUCUCUGUGUAAUUUUAUUUUUGAACUCCACACAAUCAAAAUGUUAAAACUUGCACGUAAACAGUGCCUGUGAGGAAACUUAAAGCUUAGAUUCGUGGAGCAGGCAGACAUCAAGCCUCAGUAGCUACAAGUGUACAAAAUGCCUGUGUUUUAUACAUACUUCAGCAAGUAAGGUUAGCACCAAAAGGAAAAGUAAACUAAAGUAAACUAAUACCAGCACAUUUUCCAUCUGAUUAUCGACUUCAGGUUAUGUGGAGCUUUAAAAGAAAAAAAAAAAAAGUAGGGGAGGAGGGAGCGGGGGAAGAGAGAAGCUUGCAUUAUUUCCAGAUGAGGGUGAGACUGGAUGGUGUUUUAAAGUGCAACCGGGAAAAACCACAAGUGGAGUGUAUUUUUUUAAAGUCAGUCCAUUGAAUGAAACUUCAAUGAUGCCCAAAUGAAAAUAAAUCCGAAAUAGGACCUCCCUCCCACCACCCCCCACCAAAAAAAAAAAGGAGGGGGGAACAGGAACCCUGCUGCGAUCUCAAGAUAAACAAACAAAACCUCAAAACUGGUUCUUCAAGCUUCCCAAGCCCACCCUCCCUCCCCGCUACACACCAGCUGCCAGUCCAGACUUUAAGGAUAAAAUACCGCUACAAUGUAGCACUUUCACUUUCAUUUGCUGAGAGAAACCUGCCACUGGGGAGAAAAUGCCCAAUGUUUUCCAUGUCCUAAGCAAGCAAACAAAGUCUGGCACAUACAUCGGAAACAGGAAAAAAUGUGAAAAUAGCUCAGGACAAAUGUUGCCUUUCAACGGUGUAAUCUGCUGCAUCAUUUAUCUGUCUCUACCAUUGAGUGUAGAAUAGGGAGCUGUUUAAGAGUUUCCGAGGUUGGGGGCAGGGGAAAAUUGACGCCUUGAAAUUCCAGUCCUUAGUUAAUGCCAAGUCGAUUUCCGAUGGCCAGAACCAGAAAGGAGAAUUGGACCAGGGGGAAGGGAGUAGGAUGAUCUUUCCGAACACCGGCUCUUAAAUUUCAAGCUUCUGCUAACAUUAUUGCCCAUUUGAUUUUUUUUUUUUUUUCUUCCUACGCCGGAGGUAGUAGGUGUAAUUCUUCUGGUGAAUCUAUGAAUAGUUGGCUAAAAGGAGGCAUGAAUCAGACCGAGAACGUCCAAGAAUACAGUUAUUUCAAUUCUUCUUCAAGGGUUGAAAGUGUCCGGAAAGCAUCUGUCCACAGUCAAUAGUCCUCAUCCUGACGUUAAUCAGUAGUAUUUGGCUAAAUGCCAUUUAAAAUGUAGAAAUCUGUUCAAUAGUUGGCCUUGAGUUUUAAAUAAAGAUGAUUCAUAUGUAUGUAUGUAUGUGUGUGUAUUUGUAUGUGUACAUAUGUGUGUACAUAUAUGUGAAAUACAUGAGGCAGCAAAAUAUAGCAAGAAUUGUAAACACCAAAAAUAAGAAAAGUAGGCAUCAAAUGACUAUUUAAAUAGUUUUGAACCUUAACCUUCCUUAAUUUUUCCAGUACUGGCAGUAAAUAGGGACAGCCAGUACACACACAAAAAAUAAAGGUA